UUUGCACUACAACAGAAUAAAAAUAUUUUCUUCUUCAAGACUGGUUUGUUUCCUCUGGUGAAGAUAAAUUGUCAAGUGCUCCCACCUCUUCAAAGAAGGAAAACAAUGAAUUAGCAGAUGUAAAUACAGGCAAAUCUACUGCAGACUUGUACAUGCAAGACUAGUCCUGAAUGUCACAGGAGAAAGGCCAACAGAAACAGAUCUUCCGUGCUUCUGCUAAAAGUAACUGGAUUUAAAAGUCAUUCACUUACCUUUGAGAUGCAAGGUAUAUCGUGAAAGAGCUCACUGUCACUUGUCAGCUUUGGCACGGAUGCUGCCCAGUGGAAAGGACCCUCACGGGAGAUGAAUACUUACAGACAAAACCAGUCCGAAUGUUUCUGACAGGGCGGCACAAAGGAUUAAAGACAGAAACAGGAAACCCGCACACCUCUGCAUCUGAAAAGAAACCGCGCCAGGGUAAGCUUCAAGUCGCUCGCUGCCUGGCUUCUAGCUUGGAUCCGCAUAGCAGGUCUUGCGUGAAGGAUAGUAAUGAAGCUCUCCCCAGUGACGAGGCAUGCCUCAGCAUUUUAAUUACAGCCUGUGAGAUUUCAGUUGUUUAUCUUAUUUGUGCUUAUAGCCAGUGUAUGUAUGAGCAAAACCAAAUUACGAGGCAAAGAUCCCAACGUCAUUUCCCAGUGUCAGGGAAUAUACCCUGCCAAGUCAUAUUUUUUCAGUGUAAGUCCCCUCAACUCUUCUUUCAGUAUGAAGAGCCUAAGAGGUGUUGUACAGAAUGUUAUACUUCCAGCUCCUUUUUCUGAAGCUGCUUAAUAUCUUUGCAAACUUUUAUAGUGUGUGUGUGUGAACUUGGAUAUAGAGUAAAGGCUGCUAGCAGGUAAUACAAUAUCCUAUCUUCUACUAGUUUAGAAGCAAAUAGCAUUUUUUACUUAAAGUAAUGUAAUGUUCAUAUUACUGGCUAAUGGCAGAAGCUGUGUCUUGUAGCUUUGUUUUCCAACUUCUUUUGUCUGAAGCCACAGCAUUGCAAUUAUCUGAUCAUCACUGAAUUCCAGAUCUAAAACUGCUUGAAUGAAGUUUAUUUUAUACAGUUGUUAAAUGCUAAUGUACAUAAAUGGGAAGCAAGAAAUUUGCUUUGUUUUGUAUUAUUUGUUGAGGAUGUUCUGUCAGCUGUCACAUUAGCCUUUUAAUUCAGAAUAGAUAGAUCUGGAAAACAGCACUGUAUUUUUUUUUGUGAAGAG